rnacentral:pre_miRNA from 13 species
CCUUAGUGUACAUACUUCUUUAUGUACCCAUAUGAACAUAUGAUAACUAUGGAAUGUAAAGAAGUAUGUAUUCUUGGU